ensembl:lncRNA
CUUCAAUCGGUUGGAGAUUUUGGUGUCCGUUACCUUUUUUAUGGCGCAUUAUCCGGCUGAAAGUAGCCAAUGCCAUCAGGGAUUACCGUUGCCAUGAAAGGGUGCACAUGAUCUCCAACAAUGAGUGCAUCCUGGUGCUGUGUGUUCUCCAGGUAAACGAUGCACACACACCCGGCCACAUGAUGUAAAAGGAAACCUGAUUCGUCAGACCAAGCCAUGUUCUUCCAUUGCUCCAUCGUUGAGUUCUGAUGCUCGUGCCCAUUGUAGGCGCUUUCAGAAGUGGACAGGGGUCAGCAUGGGCACCCUGACUGGUCUGCGGCUACACAGUUCCAUACACAACAAACUGCAAUGCACUAUGUGUUCUGACCCUUUCCUAUCAGUACCAGCAUUAACUUUUUCAGCAAUCUGAGCUACAGUAGCUUGUCUGUUGGAUCAGACCACAUGGGCGAGCCUUUGCUCCCCACGUGCAUCAAUGAGUCUUGGCCACCCAUGACACUGCCGCCAGUUCACCGCUUUUCCUUCCUCAAACCACUUUUGAACACCCCACAAGGGCUGCAGUUUUAGAGAUGCUCUGACCCAUCUUGCUAUCACAAUUUGUCCCUUGUCAAAGUUGCAUUUUUCCUGCUUCUAACACAUCAACUUUGAGGACAGAAUGUUCACUUGUUGCCUAAUGUACCCCACCCACUGACAGGGACCAUGAUUAUGAGAUCAUCAGUGUUAUUUACUUCACCUGUCAGUGGUCAUAAUGUUAAGGCUGAUCGGUGUAUGUCAAUGUAUGCACGCAAGUCUGGCUGGAAAUUAACGUCUGCUGAAUUACUGUAAUAAAGAUCAUUAUAGUCUGCUUGGAUGUAU